UACGGAGGAUCCAAGCGUUAUCCGGAUUUAUUGGGUUUAAAGGGUGCGUAGGUGGGUCUUUAAGUCAGUGGUGAAAGCCUAGAGCUUAACUCUAGAACUGCCAUUGAUACUGAGGAUCUUGAGUACAGUUGAGGCGGGCGGAAUGUGUCAUGUAGCGGUGAAAUGCUUAGAUAUGACACAGAACACCGAUUGCGAAGGCAGCUCGCUAAACUGUAACUGACACUGAGGCACGAAAGCGUGGGGAGCAAACAGGAUUAGAAACCCCUGUAGUCC
rnacentral:rRNA from 1 species